GCCAGCGUAGCUCAGAGGCCAGAGCGACGGUUUUGUAAACCGUGGGUCGUGGGUUCGACUCCCACCGCUGGCU
rnacentral:tRNA from 4 species